rnacentral:rRNA from 1 species
CCAAUAGCGUAUAUUAAAGUUGUUGCCGUUAAAAAGCUCGUAGUUGAAUUUUGGGUUUGGCCGAUUGGUCCGUUCUUGUAACGAGUACUGGUCGGUUGGGCCUCACCGCCUGGUGAUGCGUAAUGUCCUUUAUUGGGUGUUGCGAGUAGUCAGGACCUUUACCUUGAAAAAAUUAGAGUGUUUAAAGCAGGCUUAUGCCGGAAUACAUUAGCAUGGAAUAAUAGAAUAGGACGAUGAUUCUAUUUUGUUGGUUUCUAGGAGCAUCGUAAUGAUUAAUAGGGAUAGUUGGGGGCAUUAGUAUUCAAUUGUCAGAGGUGAAAUUCUUGGAUUUAUUGAAGACUAACUACUGCGAAAGCAUUUGCCAAGGAUGUUUUCAUUAAUCAAGAACGAAAGUUAGGGGAUCGAAGACGAUCAGAUACCGUCGUAGUCUUAACCAUAAACUAUGCCGACUAGGGAUCGGGCGAUGUUGUUUCAAUGACUCGCUCGGCACCUUAUG